AUUGAACGCUGGCGGCAGGCCUAACACAUGCAAGUCGAGCGAGCGGCGGACGGGUGAGUAAUGUAUGGGGAUCUUCCCGAUAGAUGGGGAUCACUACUGGGAACUGUGGCUACUUCCGCCUACUAUCGCAUGAACCCAUAUGGGAUUAGCUAGUAGGGGGGGUAAAGGCUUACCUAGGCGACGAUCUCUAGCUGGUCUGAGAGGAUGAUCGGCCACACUGGGACUGAGACACGGCCCAGACUCCUACGGGAGGCAGCAGUGGGGAAUAUUGGGCAAUGGGCGCAAGCCUGACGCAGCAACGCCGCGUGUGUGAAGAAGGCCUUCGGAUUGUAAAGUACUGUUGGCGGAGAGGCGGUACCGACCGAGGAAGCAACGGCUAACUCCGUGCCAGCAGCCGCGGUAAUAC
rnacentral:rRNA from 1 species